UGCAAGUCGCACGGGGCAAGUUGAGUAGCAAUACGAGAUUUGUUCAGUGGCGCACGGGUGAGUAACACGUGAAUUACAUGCCCUUCAGAGGGGGAUAGCCCAGGGAAACUUGGAUUAAUACCCCAUGGUCUCGCAAGAGUAAAGGUGGCCGCAAGGCUGUCGCUGGAGGAUUGGUUCGCGCCCUAUCAGCUUGUUGGUGAGGUAACGGCUCACCAAGGCUACGACGGGUACCUGGUCUGAGAGGACGAUCAGGCACACUGGAACUGAGACACGGUCCAGACACCUACGGGUGGCAGCAGUCGAGAAUAAUUCACAAUGGGGGCAACCCUGAUGGUGCAACGCCGCGUGGAGGAUGACGGUCUUCGGAUUGUAAACUCCUGUCAUCUGGGAGUAAGACCUGGUCGUUAAUAGCGGACAGGGUUGAUAGUACCAGAAGAGGAAGGGACGGCUAACUUCGUGCCAGCAGCCGCGGUAAUACGAAGGUCCCGAGCGUUGUUCGGAAUCACUGGGCGUAAAGGGAGCGUAGG
rnacentral:rRNA from 1 species